GACGAACGCUGGCGGCGUGCUUAACACAUGCAAGUCGAACGGAAAGGCCCUGCUUUUGUGGGGUGCUCGAGUGGCGAACGGGUGAGUAACACGUGAGUAACCUGCCCUUGACUUUGGGAUAACUUCAGGAAACUGGGGCUAAUACCGGAUAGGAGCUCCUGCUGCAUGGUGGGGGUUGGAAAGUUUCGGCGGUUGGGGAUGGACUCGCGGCUUAUCAGCUUGUUGGUGGGGUAGUGGCUUACCAAGGCUUUGACGGGUAGCCGGCCUGAGAGGGUGCCCGGCAACAUUGGGACUGAGAUACGGCCCAGACUCAUACGGGGGGCAGCAGUGGGGAAUAUUGCACAAUGGGCGGAGGCCGGAUGCAGCAACGCCGCGUGCGGGAUGACGGCCUUCGGGUUGUAAACCGCUUUCGCCUGUGACGAAGCGUGAGUGACGGUAAUGGGGAAAGAAGCACCGGCUAACUACGU
rnacentral:rRNA from 1 species